rnacentral:lncRNA from 1 species
CUCUGCUAUUAGCAUUGCUUGACUCAAUGUAAAUGCAAUCAUGGCAUACGCAUUGUUGGAAUAGAGCAAUGUUGUAAAUUUCUCUAUUUUUUACUUAGAUCCCAUUUUUGCAUGAAUACGGGUUGCUACAUAAGCUGCUCAAUUAAAUACCAUCUCGUCAAGCAUUCCUACUAUUGCAAACAUUAACUGUCUUCACAUAUACAUGUCGUAUUGAUACAAUCCUAAAUGCCUCAGCACGAAGUGCAUCUAUUCCAUGAGCUCUGGUGUAAUUGCUUCAGUUGUUCGCCAACCUUGAUUCUUCUCAAAUGAUGACAUUCCACCUUUGAAAAAUGCUCUUGGGCUGAAAUCGCUUGAGUCCAUUGCCUCCACCGCAAGCUCUCCAAUUGGAAGAUACAACACCUUUUCUAGGAUCUUCUCAUCAAUAUUGAUAAUGUGUCCUUGUACGAUACUCGAUCCAUGCUUUGGGUCAUAGUUUGCAAUGUAUUCUUCUACUAAUGCCAUAUUAAUUAAUGGUAAGCUAUCUGACCUUCACAAAAAUUGAAACAUUUUUGCAUUUCAAAAAUCUCAUAUUCUUCUUAGUGUCUAGCAAAUCUCUAAUUUCAUAGGCUCCAUAUUGGUAACGAUUGCUAUGGAUGGUGGUCCCAAAUUACGUUUAGCUUUCACAUUUUGGCUACUUUUCUCUUUAUUCAUAGCUCUCUUUGCACUCUCAAUCGCCAUGACACACACUCUUUCAAGCUCUAACCGUCAAUGCUACUCUCCAAUACUUCCAAAACAUAAGAAAUUGUAACACAGAAAAAUAACAAUAGAAUGCGAUACCACAGAAUCACCUUGAAUGGGUGCCCCACUUCUAUUCUUUUACCUAGUAGUGAUAACAACAAUAUGUUAUCUAUAUUGUCCAUUUCUU